CCUACGGGAGGCAGCAGUGAGGAAUAUUGGUCAAUGGACGAGAGUCUGAACCAGUCAAGUAGCGUGAAGGAUGACUGCCCUAUGGGUUGUAAACUUCUUUUAUAUGGGAAUAAAAUGUUCCACGUGUGGGAUUUUGUAUGUACCAUAUGAAUAAGGAUCGGCUAACUCCGUGCCAGCAGCCGCGGUAAUACGGAGGAUCCGAGCGUUAUCCGGAUUUAUUGGGUUUAAAGGGAGCGUAGGUGGAUUGUUAAGUCAGUUGUGAAAGUUUGCGGCUCAACCGUAAGAUUGCAGUUGAAACUGGCAGUCUUGAGUACAGUAGAGGUGGGCGGAAUUCGUGGUGUAGCGGUGAAAUGCUUAGAUAUCACGAAGAACUCCGAUUGCGAAGGCAGUUCACUGGACUGCAACUGACACUGAGGCUCGAAAGUGUGGGUAUCAAACAGGAUUAGAUACCCCGGUAGUC
rnacentral:rRNA from 1 species